GUCCUUUCAGGUACAUAUGAUAAAAUUGGAAAGAUACAAACAAGAUUAGCAUGGUCCCUCAGCAAAAAUGACAUACACAAAUCGAUAAAUGAUCCAGCAACAG